UACGAAGGGGGCUAGCGUUGCUCGGAAUCACUGGGCGUAAAGCGCACGUAGGCGGGUUGCUAAGUCGGGGGUGAAAUCCUGGAGCUCAACUCCAGAACUGCCUUCGAUACUGGCGACCUAGAGUCCGGGAGAGGUGAGUGGAACUCCGAGUGUAGAGGUGAAAUUCGUAGAUAUUCGGGAGAACACCAGUGGCGAAGGCGGCUCACUGGCCCGGUACUGACGCUGAGGUGCGAAAGCGUGGGGAGCAAACAGG
rnacentral:rRNA from 1 species